UCCUUCAUUCCACCGGUGUCU
rnacentral:miRNA from 1 species